rnacentral:rRNA from 1 species
ACGGAGGGUGCAAGCGUUAAUCGGAAUUAAUGGGCGUAAAGCGCGCGUAGGCGGCUGAUUAAGUCGGAUGUGAAAGCCCCGGGCUCAACCUGGGAACUGCAUACGAUACUGAUCGGCUAGAGUAUGAGAGAGGGAGGUAGAAUUCCACGUGUAGCGGUGAAAUGCGUAGAUAUGUGGAGGAAUACCGGUGGCGAAGGCGGCCUCCUGGCUUAAUACUGACGCUGAGGUGCGAAAGCGUGGGGAGCAAACAGG